UUUCCAGCUCGUAAACUGUGCGACGGUGGCAUUUCUCUGCCAAGAGAAGCUGUUCAAGCAUGCGCCGUAUUUCUUUUUGCCUAUUGUAGACCAACUGCAGCGGAGGAAGAAAGUUAAAAUGUCAGUCAUAACAAGCCACUUUCUAGGAGAAGAAGACACUGUGUUUUUAACCUUCACAAGAGACUUGAAAAAAUUGAGGAACUGACUGCUUACCAGAAACCACAGGCCUACAAUCCUGAUCAAGAGUUGGAGCAAGCAGUGGCCAGCUCAGGACAUUGCAACCUUUCUGAAUUCUCCCUGGCUGUUUUGGCAUGCAGUGCCAUCUCCUUCGGGCAUCUGGUGCGAAAAGGAGAACAUCAGCAUUCAUAGAUUUAAGGCCUGAGCCUAGAACACCAAAGAAUGCAAGAACAGAGUACAGUCGGUCUUCCACAUUCACAUCCAUGGAUUUUGAAUGUAUGGAUUCAACUAGAUUUGGAGAAAAAAAUCCAAAAAGGCUAUUUUAUGUUAGGAGUGCUAUUUUAUGAAGCUACUGUACACUAUAGGAUCUGAGCUUCUUCCGAUUUUGUCAUCCAUGGGAGUGGGGGUUCCAGCAAUCAAAUCCCUUGAAUGUAGCUCGGUUUCAUCUUUAGCAACUGAAGAAGCCAAGCACCUAGCUGUUUUACUAAUUUUAUAUUUUAGAACUGUUUCUAAAUGACUGGUGUUUGUGUGUAUGUGUGUGUGUAUGUAUAUACAUAUAUACACACAAACACAAACAGAGUCAAAGAGAAAUCAACUGCAUCCUUCUAGGAAACAGGACACAUUUGUUGGUUUGCUUUUUCAUCACACAUACAUAGAAUAUAUACUCUAUGCUAUUGGGUUGGGUUACGUAAACAGCUGUGUUGUGGUGAACCAAAGGGCAAUCAGUUAUUUCUUUAUUUUCUGCAGCAAAUUCAAGUUUUCACAUAGUACCUGCAUUACAUGUCACCAUGACUUGGUCACCUUUGUGAUAAAGUGCUCAACAAUUUGUAGUCACAAUAAUACAAAUGACAUUAGUUUCAAAUGUAGAUCUUUAUAGGAUACUUUUCAGUGCAUAUUUGCUCAGAAGUAUCUCAGGUGCCAGUAAGACUUAAUCCUGUGUUAAAUGUUUAUACAGUAAAGUCUUGCUUAUCCAACCUUCGCUCAUCCAAUGUUCUGUUUUAUCCAACACAGUCUGCCUCCCACCCGGAUCCACAGCAAUGUUUUGGUGCUAAAUUCGUAUAUACAGUAAUUACUACAUAAUGUUACCAUGUAUUGAAUUGCCUUUUCUGUUGAUUUGUUGUAAAACAUGAUGUUUUGGUGCUUAAUUUGUAAAAUCAUAAUGUAAUUUGACAUUUCAUAGGCUUUUCC